UUCAUCACCUUCGUCUCCGUC
rnacentral:miRNA from 1 species